rnacentral:rRNA from 1 species
AGAUUGAACGCUGGCGGCAUGCCUUACACAUGCAAGUCGAACGGCAGCACGGGGGCAACCCUGGUGGCGAGUGGCGAACGGGUGAGUAAUACAUCGGAACGUAUCCUGUUGUGGGGGAUAACUAGUCGAAAGAUUAGCUAAUACCGCAUGACCUCGGAAGAGAAAAGCAGGGGACCUGGAGACGGGCCUUGCGCGAUUGGAGCGGCCGAUGUCCGAUUAGCUAGUUGGUGGGGUAAAGGCCUACCAAGGCGACGAUCGGUAGCUGGUCUGAGAGGAUGAUCAGCCACACUGGGACUGAGACACGGCCCAGACUCCUACGGGAGCAGCAGUGGGAAUUUUGGACAAUGGGGGCAACCCUGAUCCAGCCAUGCCGCGUGAGUGAAGAGGCCGUUGGUGUAAAGUCGUCUUUCGGUGGGAACGAAACGGUGGAAGUGUACAAUACCAUCCACUCCUGACGUACACAGAGAAGCACGCUAACUACG